GACGAACGCUGGCGGCGUGCUUAACACAUGCAAGUCGAGCGGUAAGGCCCUUUCGGGGGUACGACGAGCGGCGAACGGGUGAGUAACACGUGGGUGACCUGCCCUCAGCUCUGGGAUAAGCCUGGGAAACUGGGUCUAAUACUGGAUAUGACUCCACGGUGCAUGUCGUGGGGUGGAAAGCCUUGUGCGGCUGAGGAUGGGCCCGCGGCCUAUCAGCUUGUUGGUGGGGUGAUGGCCUACCAAGGCGACGACGGUAGCCGGCCUGAGAGGGCGACCGGCCACACUGGGACUGAGACACGGCCCAGACUCCUACGGGAGGCAGCAGUGGGGAAUAUUGCGCAAUGGGCGGAAGCCUGACGCAGCGACGCCGCGUGGGGA
rnacentral:rRNA from 1 species